AGAUAACUCCGAAUCCCUCUGUGGAUAGGAGUAGCGGCUGUCUGGCACAGCCAUCGACAUACUUGUUCGACCGCGAGAGCGGGACGUUUCACACGAGAGAACAAGCCGUGUCGUAGACCAGCAAAUAUCCCACCUGCGGUACGGGAAGCCCCGGCGUUCACGCCGGGGA
rnacentral:ncRNA from 1 species